CAUCGGCGGGAGAAGAAAAAAAAAAAAAAACACUGUAUCCUUCCCACAACCACAGGAACUUUACGGAAUGUGACUUUCCAGGCAUGAGCCUGCUUAGAAGAAGAAAUGUCUAACUGAGCUCAAAAUCAAGAGGAAGUCACGAGGUUGCCAGAUUGCGGAUCAAAGGCUGAGUCUAUCUCCCUCAAUGAAGCUAGUGAAAAACUUUUAUGGUGACUCAGUGAAAGCUGCUCCUGAUGCCAGUCAGCGGACUCAGACAGGAUGGACCCCCUGAUGGGAACAGUUGCAGCCCUCUGCCAGAGGAUCAACUUACAUCCAUCAGUGCUGCAAAGAUAAGACGUGAAAUUAAAUAUUGGAUCUAGAUUGUUCACU